AUCCUUAUCCUCCAUCUCACUGUCGACAUCUCUCUCCCUCAUUACACUUUUUCAUUUUCUUUCUUCUUCUUCUACAGACCACGUUCUCUGAUCUUUCUUUUCUAAUUCUCCUUUCUUUUCAUUUUCUUUCUUUUGCUGCAGCAGACCCAUUUUUCUAUUCUUCUUCUUAUGUCUCAAAUUUUCUUUCUUGUUGCAGCAACAACCUGCCACCGUUCCUUCUCAUCAUCCCCACCAUUUCUACUUCUUCCUUAUUUCUUCUCAUCACCACCAUGAAACAACCAAGGAGCCAACACCACCUCACCAUAUAUCAUGUUCUUCUUCCUCCUUCAAUCAAAGACAAACCACCACCGUCCAUUCUUCUCCUUCUCCUCCCUAUGGCCUCAAAAGGAGCAGCACCCACAGACACCACAUGAGCCACCACCUUCACCUUUUCUUCUCCUCCAUGGCUGGCCAAACGCACCACAACCCUCUGUCCUUCUUCCUCACGUAGCUCCUUUGGACAGCCACGAUGACCACCAAUCUGCCCCUUUGAGAACCACCAUCACCUUCAUCUUCCAAUUUUAUGGGUACGAAGGACGAAAGCUCCUCGCGGCGAAGCUAAAGAAUAAAAGGAAGUGAGCCGACGUGGAAAACAAAGAUGUGAUUGGAUUGGAGUUGCAGUUUUGGAUGGAGAAAUUGGCUAAGGCGAUGGAAGACUGUCGAUGAAACUUGACCUUUGCACGAGUCGGAGCUGAAGACUUGAAGAUUAGUGGAAGACAUGAAGAGUAGAGUCAGGUUUAAGGUUAGAGCCUUGGGUUAGAGAGCUUACCGUUAUUGGUUUAAGCUUGCCUAAUAAUUUUUAGGAAUUUGCAUUUGAGAUUCGGGUAGGUUCCGAUGCAUUGCUUUCUUGCGAUUCCCCGGUGUGGAGAUCGUAGGGAGUAGGUCGGAUUAGGGUGUCGUGACAUAACAGAUUCCUUGUUGGAUCUGAUCUCAUUCGUUAGAUUUGUAGUUGUGUUCUUUCGUUCAUACAUUCGGGAACUUGCCUGGGUCAAGGCUUGAUGUAGAUUUUAUUUACUGUUGGGUGUAGGCAUUACAUGUUUUGAAAACAAUUCAAAAGAAAAAAAAAUUACUCGCUUUAUA